rnacentral:rRNA from 1 species
AUUGAACGCUGGCGGAAUGCUUUACACAUGCAAGUCGAACGGCAGCACGGACUUCGGUCUGGUGGCGAGUGGCGAACGGGUGAGUAAUGUAUCGGAACGUGCACAGUCGUGGGGGAUAACGUAGUGAAAAUUACGCUAAUACCGCAUACGAUCUAUGGAUGAAAGCGGGGGAUCGCAAGACCUCGCGCGAUUGGAGCGGCCGAUAUCAGAUUAGGUAGUUGGUGGGGUAAAGGCCCACCAAGACAAAGAUCUGUAGCUGGUCUGAGAGGACGACCAGCCACACUGGAAAUGGGACACGGUCCAGACUCCUACGGGAGGCAGCAGUGGGGAAUUUUGGACAAUGGGCGAAAGCCUGAUCCAGCCAUUCCGCGUGCAGGAUGAAGGCCCUCGGGUUGUAAACUGCUUUUGUACAGAACGAAAAGGUUUCUACUAAUACUAGGAGCUCAUGACGGUACUGUAAGAAUAAGCACCGGCUAACUACGUGCCAGCCGCCGCAGUAA